rnacentral:rRNA from 1 species
UGGGGAAUUUUGGACAAUGGGGGAAGCCCUGAUCCAGCCAUCCCGCGUGUGCGAUGAAGGCCUUCGGGUUGUAAAGCACUUUUGGCAGGAAAGAAACGUCGCGGGUUAAUACCCCGCGAAACUGACGGUACCUGCAGAAUAAGCACCGGCUAACUACGUGCCAGCAGCCGCGGUAAUACGUAGGGUGCAAGCGUUAAUCGGAAUUACUGGGCGUAAAGCGUGCGCAGGCGGUUCGGAAAGAAAGAUGUGAAAUCCCAGAGCUUAACUUUGGAACUGCAUUUUUUAACUACCGGGCUAGAGUGUGUCAGAGGGAGGUGGAAUUCCGCGUGUAGCAGUGAAAUGCGUAGAUAUGCGGAGGAACACCGAUGGCGAAGGCAGCCUCCUGGGGAUAACACUGACGCUCAUGCACGAAAGCGUGGGGAGCAAAACAGGAUUAGAUACCCUGGUAGUCCACGCCCUAAACGAUGUCAACUAGCUGUUGGGGGCCUUCGGGCCUUGGUAGCGCAGCUAACGCGUGAAGUUGACCGCCUGGGGAGUACGGUCGCAAGAUUAAAACUCAAA